GGAGCAGCAACGAUGUUACGCAGCAGGGCAGUCGCCCUAAAACAAAGUUAGGCAUCACAAAGUACAGCAUC
rfam:Pantoea sp. PSNIH2 plasmid pPSP-75c, complete sequence.